GUGUCAGCCGCCGCGGUAAAACCAGCACCUCGAGUGGUCAGGACGUUUAUUGGGCCUAAAGCAUCCGUAGCCGGUUGUUUAAGUUUUCGGUUAAAUCUAUGCGCUCAACGUAUAGGCCGCCGAAAAUACUGGACAGCUAGGGAGUGGGAGAGGUACACGGUACUCGAUAGGAAGGGGUAAAAUCCUUUGAUCUAUCGAUGACCACCUGUGGCGAAGGCGGUGUACCAGAACACGUUCGACGGUGAGGGAUGAAAGCUGGGGGAGCAAACCGGAUUAGAUACCCCGGUAGUCC
rnacentral:rRNA from 1 species